AUGGGAGUCUGGUGCACAGGGCAGGGGCUCUCCAGCCCACCCAAGGCCUCCAGAACCAGCCACAGCAGGAGGAACGAGCCUCAGCAGCCCCUGAGCCCACAAGGUCCUCCCUGGCCCACUGCGCUCCAAGAGCUCUCCCUCAAGGGCCCCAGGGCCAGGACAUCCAGGGGCAGCCCCGCUGGACAUGGAAGUGACAUGGUGAGUCUCCGGGAGGGUGCAGAGGCUGGGAACCCACCGGAGCUGGACAGCAGAGGCCCAGGGGAGGGCGGGCUGAGCUCCAAACCAGAGGGGCACACAGGCCUGUGGGUGGAAUCGGGCCUGGGUGCUGCCAGCGAUGGGGAGGGAGAACCGGCUAAAGGGGGCGGCCUAAUGGUCCCUAGAUGCCAGCCGCAAGCCCGUCCUGGGGAAGGCCGGGAGGGACACCCACCCUCCCGCUUCUCGCUUCUCCCGCCGCAGAGCCCUCGGCCACCCCCUCCUCCCAUUGUACAGUGGGGGGAAUUAAAGUCUAAAGCGGGAUGGCAGUGCCCGGAACGCAGAGCUCUCUGCUCCUCUGGCCGGUGGCCCCCUCCUUCAUCCCUCAGGGCCGUCCUGCGCCAAAUCCCUCGAGGGCCGCCACCAUUCCCGCCAUUCCUACCUCAGUCGCGGGGAGCCCGGCAGGCGGCCAGGGCCGGUCCGAAGCGCGCACCCACCCGCCCGGCCUCGGGCCCCUCCUGCGGUGCUUGGUCCGGCUCCCGCCACCACCGUCCGCAGCACGCGCAGGCGGGCAGACUCCCCUUUCUGGCCGCGCCCGGCGCUGGGGCUGCCGCGGUCCGCGCGCCCCCGGAAUGCCGGUUCCGCGGCGGCUCCACCUGUGGGGCCCCGUCCCCGGCUCCCACCCGCCGGGCUGCGCCUCUGCGCCCCCAGCCCAGCCCCGCCGGGCGCGCCCGGAAGGUCGCCGAGUACCCCGGGGCCGGCCGUGCGCCCAGACGCACCGACCGACGGUGCCCGCCCGUUACCUGCGGGUCCGGGCGCCGGCUCCGCGCCCCGCCGCUGGGCCGCCGCUCCCGCGCCCCUUCCGGCCGGGCCCGGGGCGGCCAGAGCGUCCGCACGCGGCCCCCGACCGGCUUAGGACGUGCGCCCGCGCCCGGGCCCGCCCUGGCAGCCCCGCCGCCCGCAGGGCUCGGACCCCGGCCCGUGAACUCCUCCCGGGAGGCGGGAAGACGGUCGCAGCGGCGGGGCGCCCCGAAGGGAGGGGACCGAGCCGCCCCUCCCUCCCGGCCCGCAGCCUCCGACGGCCCCCCGCCGCCCGGCCGCCCGCCCGGGACCCUCGGGACCCGCGAGCGGGACCCCGGCUGA
rnacentral:lncRNA from 1 species